rnacentral:rRNA from 1 species
GACAACGUACCCUAAAGUGGAGCAUAAUCUCGGGAAACUGAGGAUAAUUCUCCAUAGACCAUGAGAUCUGGAAUGACUUAUGGUUCAAAGUUCCGGCGCUUUAGGAUCGGUCUGCGGCCUAUCAGGUAGUAGUGGGUGUAACGUACCCCCUAGCCAAUUACGGGUAUGGGCCUUGAGAGAGGGAGCCCAGAGUUGGAUUCUGARACACGAAUCCAGGCCCUACGGGGCGCAGCMSUCSCGMAAACUUCACAAUGGGCGAAAGCCCGAUGAGGGAAUUCCUAGUGCUAGCACAUUUGUGUUAGCUUUUCCUUAGSGUAGAUAACUAGGGGGGUAGGGGCUGGGUAAGACGGGUGCCAGCCGCCGCGGUAAUACCCGCAGCCCGAGUGGUGGUCGAUUUUAUUGAGUCUAAAACGUUCGUAGCCGGUCUGAUAAAUCCCUGGGUAAAUCGGGUGGCUUAACCAUCCGAAUUCCGGGGAGACUGUCAGGCUUGGGAUCGGGAGAGGUAUGAGGUACUUCAGGGGUAGGGGUAAAAUCCUGUAAUCCUUGGAGGACCACCGGUGGMGAAGGCGUCAUACUAGAACGAAUCCGACGGUGAGGGACGAAGCCCUAGGUCGCAAACGGGWCUCGUUCCCCGGUAGUCUAGGGUGUCAMCSCUGC